rnacentral:tRNA from 1 species
GCCCCUAUAGCUCAAUGGAUAGAGUAAUUCCGUCCUAAGGAAAAGAUCUACGUUCGAAUCGUAGUAGGGGCACCA